AAGAAAUGUUAGUUUGUACUGGAAUGAGCAAAGCAUCAAAGUGUAGAAGGGUUGUCCAAUUGUAACUCAAACCCAUACUAAUCUUGGUGCACCCUCAAUUGGAGACUAAAAGAGGGAAUACUGAAUCCAAACUAUGACCAAAGAGGCUCUGAAGGCACUUAGAUGCAUCCACGUGUAGAGAGGGAGUCCUAAUCGAAGGAUCUACGGCUCAACCUACGAGGUUAAGAUGGUUCUAAAAUGAUAAGGG
rnacentral:lncRNA from 1 species